rnacentral:rRNA from 1 species
GAUGAACGCUGGCGGCGUGCUUAACACAUGCAAGUCGAACGAUGAAGCCCAGCUUGCUGGGUGGAUUAGUGGCGAACGGGUGAGUAACACGUGAGUAACCUGCCCUUAACUCUGGGAUAAGCCUGGGAAACUGGGUCUAAUACCGGAUAGGAGCGUCCACCGCAUGGUGGGUGUUGGAAAGAUUUAUCGGUUUUGGAUGGACUCGCGGCCUAUCAGCUUGUUGGUGAGGUAAUGGCUCACCAAGGCGACGACGGGUAGCCGGCCUGAGAGGGUGACCGGCCACACUGGGACUGAGACACGGCCCAGACUCCUACGGGAGGCAGCAGUGGGGAAUAUUGCACAAUGGGCGCAAGCCUGAUGCAGCGACGCCGCGUGAGGGAUGACGGCCUUCGGGUUGUAAACCUCUUUCAGUAGGGAAGAAGCGAAAGCGACGGUACCUGCAGAAGAAGCACCGGCUAACUACGUG